rnacentral:rRNA from 1 species
UUUUAUUUGAGAGUUUGAUCCUGGCUCAGGAUGAACGCUGGCGGCGUGCCUAACACAUGCAAGUUGAGCGAUUUACUUCGGUAAAGAGCGGCGGACGGGUGAGUAACGCGUGGGUAACCUACCUGUACACACGGAUAACAUAC